rnacentral:misc_RNA from 1 species
AAGUCAUAACAAGGUUUCCGUAGGUCAAGUUUUGCCUACCACAGCGGCCUGCGGGCCUGCUAGUCUCUCCCUGGGAGGCGACACGCUCAAUAUGCGGAGAGAGCCUGCGAGGCAAAUCCGCAGCUGCGACAGCAGUUCAGAGACUCAAUGAGCGUGGGUCCAGCCCCCCCGGCUGAGCUUGAGAUAGAGCCCGACCCUGCUGGGAACUGCAGGGAGCGAUCGGAACCUGCGGAAGGAUCAUUAAAGAAUAAAGGCUUCACGGCCCCAUUUCUCACCCUUUUGUAUACUGAACUUUGUUGCCUUGGCAGCAGCCGAGUAGGCCUGCCAGAGGACCGAAACCCUAGAAUCUCUGCCGUCUGAGUUACUAUACAAUAGUUAAAA